rnacentral:tRNA from 1 species
GCCCGGGUAGCCGAAUGGCAUAGGCAGGCGGUCUUAAAAACUGCUGCUCGCAAGAGCGUGCGGGUUCGAAUCCCGCCCCGGGCA